GAUGAAAAACGUAGCGAAAUGCGAUAAGUAGUGUGAAUUGCAGAAUUCAGUGAAUCAUCGAAUCUUUGAACGCACAUUGCGCCCUUUGGUAUUCCAAAGGGCAUGCCUGUUCGAGCGUCAUUUGUACCCUCAAGCUUUGCUUGGUGUUGGGCGUCUUGUCUCUAGCUUUGCUGGAGACUCGCCUUAAAGUAAUUGGCAGCCGGCCUACUGGUUUCGGAGCGCAGCACAAGUCGCACUCUCUAUCAGCAAAGGUCUAGCAUCCAUUAAGCCUUUUUUUCAACUUUUGACCUCGGAUCAGGUAGGGAUACCCGCUGAACUUAAGCAUAUCAAUAAGCGGAGGA
rnacentral:misc_RNA from 1 species